UACAGAGGGUGCAAGCGUUACUCGGAAUUACUGGGCGUAAAGCGUGCGUAGACGGUUACAUAAGUCGGAUGUGAAAGCCCCGGGCUCAACCUGGGAAUUGCAUUCGAGACUGUGUAGCUAGGAUGCGGAAGAGGGAAGCGGAAUUUCCGGUGUAGCGGUGAAAUGCGUAGAUAUCUGGAGGAACACCGGUGGCGAAGGCGGCAUCCUGGACCGACACUGACGCUGAGGAGCGAAAGCCAGGGGAGCAAACGGG
rnacentral:rRNA from 1 species